GGGACACGUGGUAUCCUGUCUGAAUAUGGGGGGACCAUCCUCCAAGGCUAAAUACUCCUGACUGACCGAUAGUGAACCAGUACCGUGAGGGAAAGGCGAAAAGAACCCCGGCGAGGGGAGUGAAAAAGAACCUGAAACCGUGUACGUACAAGCAGUGGGAGCACGCUUAGGCGUGUGACUGCGUACCUUUUGUAUAAUGGGUCAGCGACUUAUAUUCUGUAGCAAGGUUAACCGAAUAGGGGAGCCGAAGGGAAACCGAGUCUUAACUGGGCGUUAAGUUGCAGGGUAUAGACCCGAAACCCGGUGAUCUAGCCAUGGGCAGGUUGAAGGUUGGGUAACACUAACUGGAGGACCGAACCGACUAAUGUUGAAAAAUUAGCGGAUGACUUGUGGCUGGGGGUGAAAGGCCAAUCAAACCGGGAGAUAGCUGGUUCUCCCCGAAAGCUAUUUAGGUAGCGCCUCGUGAAUUCAUCUCCGGGGGUAGAGCACUGUUUCGGCAAGGGGGUCAUCCCGACUUACCAACCCGAUGCAAACUGCGAAUACCGGAGAAUGUUAUCACGGGAGACACACGGCGGGUGCUAACGUCCGUCGUGAAGAGGGAAACAACCCAGACCGCCAGCUAAGGUCCCAAAGUCAUGGUUAAGUGGGAAACGAUGUGGGAAGGCCCAGACAGCCAGGAUGUUGGCUUAGAAGCAGCCAUCAUUUAAAGAAAGCGUAAUAGCUCACUGGUCGAGUCGGCCUGCGCGGAAGAUGUAACGGGGCUAAACCAUGCACCGAAGCUGCGGCAGCGACGCUUAUGCGUUGUUGGGUAGGGGAGCGUUCUGUAAGCCUGUGAAGGUGUGCUGUGAGGCAUGCUGGAGGUAUCAGAAGUGCGAAUGCUGACAUAAGUAACGAUAAAGCGGGUGAAAAGCCCGCUCGCCGGAAGACCAAGGGUUCCUGUCCAACGUUAAUCGGGGCAGGGUGAGUCGACCCCUAAGGCGAGGCCGAAAGGCGUAGUCGAUGGGAAACAGGUUAAUAUUCCUGUACUUGGUGUUACUGCGAAGGGGGGACGGAGAAGGCUAUGUUGGCCGGGCGACGGUUGUCCCGGUUUAAGCGUGUAGGCUGGUUUUCCAGGCAAAUCCGGAAAAUCAAGGCUGAGGCGUGAUGACGAGGCACUACGGUGCUGAAGCAACAAAUGCCCUGCUUCCAGGAAAAGCCUCUAAGCAUCAGGUAACAUCAAAUCGUACCCCAAACCGACACAGGUGGUCAGGUAGAGAAUACCAAGGCGCUUGAGAGAACUCGGGUGAAGGAACUAGGCAAAAUGGUGCCGUAACUUCGGGAGAAGGCACGCUGAUAUGUAGGUGAAGUCCCUUGCGGAUGGAGCUGAAAUCAGUCGAAGAUACCAGCUGGCUGCAACUGUUUAUUAAAAACACAGCACUGUGCAAACACGAAAGUGGACGUAUACGGUGUGACGCCUGCCCGGUGCCGGAAGGUUAAUUUAUGGGGUCAGCGCAAGCGAAGCUCUUGAUCGAAGCCCCGGUAAACGGCGGCCGUAACUAUAACGGUCCUAAGGUAGCGAAAUUCCUUGUCGGGUAAGUUCCGACCUGCACGAAUGGCGUAAUGAUGGCCAGGCUGUCUCCACCCGAGACUCAGUGAAAUUGAACUCGCUGUGAAGAUGCAGUGUACCCGCGGCAAGACGGAAAGACCCCGUGAACCUUUACUAUAGCUUGACACUGAACAUUGAGCCUUGAUGUGUAGGAUAGGUGGGAGGCUU
rnacentral:rRNA from 1 species